AAAAUUAAUUAGCAUUAUUUUGUAUAUUUCAGACAUUAUGCUCCGUACUGAAGAUUCCAAUAUUAAUUGCUCAUGACCUCCUCCUUUGAGUAGCAUGGAAUCUAGACAGAGAGACCACUUCAUCAAAAAAAAAAAAAUCUCUAACACAAUGGGGCAAAUACAAGGGGAACUCAAAGGGAGGAGGAACGAUCUCAGCUUGAGUAAGAAGAUGCUGUGUCAGAGAAGGCUGUGUUUGAAUGGAGUGUUGAAAGGUGACUGGAGGGUGAGCAGGAGGAAGAAAUGUAAGCAUCGAGGUGCACCUAUCCAGAGAGAAGGUUCAUGCUGAGUCUCAUGAAGGCUUGAAGGCUGUUUGGUUUUGAUAAAGUUGUAAUUUGAAAUCAGUUCAUG
rnacentral:lncRNA from 13 species